rnacentral:rRNA from 1 species
AGCAGUCGCCACGGUAAUACAGAGGGUGCGAGCGUUAAUCGGAUUUACUGGGCGUAAAGCGUGCGUAGGCGGCUUUUUAAGUCGGAUGUGAAAUCCCUGAGCUUAACUUAGGAAUUGCAUUCGAUACUGGGAAGCUAGAGUAUGGGAGAGGAUGGUAGAAUUCCAGGUGUAGCGGUGAAAUGCGUAGAGAUCUGGAGGAAUACCGAUGGCGAAGGCAGCCAUCUGGCCUAAUACUGACGCUGAGGUACGAAAGCAUGGGGAGCAAACAGGAUUAGAUACCCGUGUAGUCCCUGUCUCUUAUAC